UCUUUCUUUGCUGGCGACCGGCGCACGGGUGAGUAACACGUAUCCAACCUGCCCUUUACUCGGGGAUAGCCUUUCGAAAGAAAGAUUAAUACCCGAUAGCAUAAUGAUUCCGCAUGGUUUCAUUAUUAAAGGAUUCCGGUAAAGGAUGGGGAUGCGUUCCAUUAGGUUGUUGGUGAGGUAACGGCCCACCAAGCUUCGAUGGAUAGGGGUUCUGAGAGGAAGGUCCCCCACAUUGGAACUGAGACACGGUCCAA
rnacentral:rRNA from 1 species